GACGAACGCUGGCGGCGUGCUUAACACAUGCAAGUCGAACGGAAAGGCCCUGCUUUUGUGGGGUGCUCGAGUGGCGAACGGGUGAGUAACACGUGAGUAACCUGCCCUUGACUUUGGGAUAACUUCAGGAAACUGGGGCUAAUACCGGAUAGGAGCUCCUGCUGCAUGGUGGGGGUUGGAAAGUUUCGGCGGUUGGGGAUGGACUCGCGGCUUAUCAGCUUGUUGGUGGGGUAGUGGCUUACCAAGGCUUUGACGGGUAGCCGGCCUGAGAGGGUGACCGGCCACAUUGGGACUGAGAUACGGCCCAGACUCCUACGGGAGGCAGCAGUGGGGAAUAUUGCACAAUGGGCGGAAGCCUGAUGCAGCAACGCCGCGUGCGGGAUGACGGCCUUCGGGUUGUAAACCGCUUUCGCCUGUGACGAAGCGUGAGUGACGGUAAUGGGUAAAGAAGCAUCGACUAACUACGUG
rnacentral:rRNA from 1 species